AUUGAACGCUGGCGGCAGGCCUAACACAUGCAAGUCGAACGAGUGGCGGACGGGUGAGUAAUGUCUGGGAAACUGCCCGAUGGAGGGGGAUAACUACUGGAAACAGUAGCUAAUACCGCAUACCAUCGGAUGUGCCCUGAUGGGAUUAGCUAGUGGGUGGGGUAACGGUUCACCUAGGCGACGAUCCCUAGCUGGUCUGAGAGGAUGACCAGCGACACGGGAACGGGGACACGGUCCAGACCCCUACGGUAGGCAGCAGUGGGGAAUAUGGCACAAUGGGCGCAAGCCUGAUGCAGCCAUGCCGCGUGUAUGAAAAAGGCCUUCGGGUUGUAAAGUACUUUCAGUGAGGAGGCGUUACUAAAAGAAGAAGCACCGGCUAAAUCCGUGCCAGCAGCCGCGGUAAUAC
rnacentral:rRNA from 1 species